AUUGAACGCUGGCGGCAGGCCUAACACAUGCAAGUCGAGCGAGCGGCGGACGGGUGAGUAAUGUAUGGGGACUGCCCGAUAGAGGGGGAUAACUACUGGAAACGGUGGCUAAUACCGCAUACUAUCGGAUAACCCAUAGGGGAUUAGCUAGUAGGUGGGGUAAAGGCUAACCUAGGCGACGAUCUAUAGAUGGUCGGAGAGGAUGAUCAGCCAAAUUGGUACUGGGACACGGCCCAGACUCCUACGGAGGCAGCAGUGGGGAAUAUUGCAAAAUGGGCGCAAGCCUUAUGCAGCCAUGCCGCGUGUAUGAAGAAGGCCUUAGGGUUGUAAAGUACUUUCAGCGGGGAGGCGUUACCCGCAGAAGAAGCACCGGCUAACUCCGUGCCAGCCGCCGCGGUAAUUC
rnacentral:rRNA from 1 species